rnacentral:rRNA from 1 species
UACAGAGGUCCCGAGCGUUGUUCGGAUUCACUGGGCGUAAAGGGUGCGUAGGUGGCAAUGUAAGUUUGAUGUGAAAGCUCAGGGCUUAACCCUGAAAUGGCAUUGAAUACUACAUGGCUGGAGGUUUGGAGGGGGGACUGGAAUUCUUGGUGUAGCAGUGAAAUGCGUAGAUAUCAAGAGGAACACCAGUGGCGAAGGCGAGUCCCUGGACAACACCUGACACUGAGGCACGAAAGCCGGGGGAGCAAACAGG